rnacentral:lncRNA from 1 species
GAUCGAAAAGGGGCAUUCCGGUGCGUUUGUCGGCAAAAUCCGCCGACGGAACGCGAUUUCGGUUUGGAAAUAUUCCGACGGUGUCUCGGGAUGAUUUAUUGUGUCGCUGAGCCUAGUUGGCUGGUCACCCGUGUCAUUUCGAGGGUUCGGAAAUGAUGGGUGAGCGACGGUGGGUUUCGGUGUCGAAAUAGACACUUCCGGGAACUCGGUUCGGAACGAUUAUCCGACGAUAAUCGUUUUGGAGUGAGUUA